UGGGGAAUAUUGGGCAAUGGAGGCAACUCUGACCCAGCAACGCCGCGUGAGUGAUGAAGGUCUUCGGAUUGUAAAACUCUUUAAGUGGGGACGAAGAAAGUGACUGUACCCACAGAAUAAGCCUCGGCUAACUACGUGCCAGCAGCCGCGGUAAUACGUAGGAGGCAAGCGUUAUCCGGAAUGACUGGGCGUAAAGGGUGCGUAGGUGGUUCGGCAAGUUAGUAGCGUAAUUCCGGGGCUCAACCUCGGAACUACUACUAAAACUGUUGGGCUUGAGUGCAGGAGGGGCAUAUGGAAUUCCUAGUGUAGCGGUGGAAUGCGUAGAUAUUAGGAAGAACACCAGUGGCGAAGGCGAUAUGCUGGACUGUAACUGACACUGAGGCACGAAAGCGUGGGGAGCAAACAGG
rnacentral:rRNA from 1 species